GGGUUGUGAGGUUAAGCGACCAAGCGUACACGGUGGAUGCCCUGGCAGUCAGAGGCGAUGAAGGACGUGCUAAUCUGCGAAAAGCGCCGGUAAGGUGAUAUGAACCGUUAUAACCGGCGAUGUCCGAAUGGGGAAACCCAGUGUGACUCGUCACACUAUCAUUAACUGAAUCCAUAGGUUAAUGAGGCGAACCGGGGGAACUGAAACAUCUAAGUACCCCGAGGAAAAGAAAUCAACCGAGAUUCCCCCAGUAGCGGCGAGCGAACGGGGAGGAGCCCAGAGCCUGAAUCAGCAUGUGUGUUAGUGGAAGCGUCUGGAAAGGCGCGCGAUACAGGGUGAGAGCCCCGUACACAAAAGCGCAUAUGCUGUGAGCUCGAUGAGUAGGGCGGGACACGUGGUAUCCUGUCUGAAUAUGGGGGGACCAUCCUCCAAGGCUAAAUACUCCUGACUGACCGAUAGUGAACCAGUACCGUGAGGGAAAGGCGAAAAGAACCCCGGCGAGGGGAGUGAAACAGAACCUGAAACCGUGUACGUACAAGCAGUGGGAGCCUCUCUUUAUGGGGGGUGACUGCGUACCUUUUGUAUAAUGGGUCAGCGACUUAUAUUCUGUAGCAAGGUUAACCGCAUAGGGGAGCCGAAGGGAAACCGAGUCUUAAUUGGGCGUUAAGUUGCAGGGUAUAGACCCGAAACCCGGUGAUCUAGCCAUGGGCAGGUUGAAGGUUGGGUAACACUAACUGGAGGACCGAACCGACUAAUGUUGAAAAAUUAGCGGAUGACCUGUGGCUGGGGGUGAAAGGCCAAUCAAACCGGGAGAUAGCUGGUUCUCCCCGAAAGCUAUUUAGGUAGCGCCUCGUGAACUCAUCUCCGGGGGUAGAGCACUGUUUCGGCUAGGGGGCCAUCCCGGCUUACCAACCCGAUGCAAACUGCGAAUACCGGAGAAUGUUAUCACGGGAGACACACGGCGGGUGCUAACGUCCGUCGUGAAGAGGGAAACAACCCAGACCGCCAGCUAAGGUCCCAAAGUCAUGGUUAAGUGGGAAACGAUGUGGGAAGGCCCAGACAGCCAGGAUGUUGGCUUAGAAGCAGCCAUCAUUUAAAGAAAGCGUAAUAGCUCACUGGUCGAGUCGGCCUGCGCGGAAGAUGUAACGGGGCUAAACCAUGCACCGAAGCUGCGGCAGCGACACUUUAGUGUUGUUGGGUAGGGGAGCGUUCUGUAAGCCGUUGAAGGUGUCCUGUGAGGGGUGCUGGAGGUAUCAGAAGUGCGAAUGCUGACAUAAGUAACGAUAAAGCGGGUGAAAAGCCCGCUCGCCGGAAGACCAAGGGUUCCUGUCCAACGUUAAUCGGGGCAGGGUGAGUCGACCCCUAAGGCGAGGCCGAAAGGCGUAGUCGAUGGGAAACGGGUUAAUAUUCCCGUACUUGGUGUUACUGCGAAGGGGGGACGGAGAAGGCUAUGUUGGCCGGGCGACGGUUGUCCCGGUUUAAGCGUGUAGGUGUGUGUUCCAGGUAAAUCCGGUUCACUUUAACACUGAGGCGUGAUGACGAGGCACCACGGUGCUGAAGCAACAAAUGCCCUGCUUCCAGGAAAAGCCUCUAAGCAUCAGGUAACAUCAAAUCGUACCCCAAACCGACACAGGUGGUCAGGUAGAGAAUACCAAGGCGCUUGAGAGAACUCGGGUGAAGGAACUAGGCAAAAUGGUGCCGUAACUUCGGGAGAAGGCACGCUGACACGUAGGUGAAGUGAUUUACUCACGGAGCUGAAGUCAGUCGAAGAUACCAGCUGGCUGCAACUGUUUAUUAAAAACACAGCACUGUGCAAACACGAAAGUGGACGUAUACGGUGUGACGCCUGCCCGGUGCCGGAAGGUUAAUUGAUGGGGUCAGCGCAAGCGAAGCUCCUGAUCGAAGCCCCGGUAAACGGCGGCCGUAACUAUAACGGUCCUAAGGUAGCGAAAUUCCUUGUCGGGUAAGUUCCGACCUGCACGAAUGGCGUAAUGAUGGCCAGGCUGUCUCCACCCGAGACUCAGUGAAAUUGAACUCGCUGUGAAGAUGCAGUGUACCCGCGGCAAGACGGAAAGACCCCGUGAACCUUUACUAUAGCUUGACACUGAACAUUGAGCCUUGAUGUGUAGGAUAGGUGGGAGGCUUUGAAGCGUGGACGCCAGUCUGCGUGGAGCCGACCUUGAAAUACCACCCUUUAAUGUUUGAUGUUCUAACGUGGACCCGUAAUCCGGGUUGCGGACAGUGUCUGGUGGGUAGUUUGACUGGGGCGGUCUCCUCCUAAAGAGUAACGGAGGAGCACGAAGGUUGGCUAAUCCUGGUCGGACAUCAGGAGGUUAGUGCAAUGGCAUAAGCCAGCUUGACUGCGAGCGUGACGGCGCGAGCAGGUGCGAAAGCAGGUCAUAGUGAUCCGGUGGUUCUGAAUGGAAGGGCCAUCGCUCAACGGAUAAAAGGUACUCCGGGGAUAACAGGCUGAUACCGCCCAAGAGUUCAUAUCGACGGCGGUGUUUGGCACCUCGAUGUCGGCUCAUCACAUCCUGGGGCUGAAGUAGGUCCCAAGGGUAUGGCUGUUCGCCAUUUAAAGUGGUACGCGAGCUGGGUUUAGAACGUCGUGAGACAGUUCGGUCCCUAUCUGCCGUGGGCGCUGGAAGACUGAGGGGGGCUGCUCCUAGUACGAGAGGACCGGAGUGGACGCAUCACUGGUGUUCGGGUUGUCAUGCCAAUGGCACUGCCCGGUAGCUAAAUGCGGAAAAGAUAAGUGCUGAAAGCAUCUAAGCACGAAACUUGCCCCGAGAUGAGUCUUCCCUGAGACUUUGAGUCUCCUGAAGGAACGUUAAAGACGAUGACGUUGAUAGGCCGGGUGUGUAAGCGCAGCGAUGCGUUGAGCUAACCGGUACUAAUGAACCGUGAGGCUUAACCUUACAACGCCGAAGCUGUU
rnacentral:rRNA from 1 species